rnacentral:tRNA from 1 species
UGUCCGAUGGUGAAAUGGUAUCACAAGCUGCUGAUAACGGCUAGUUACAAGUUCAAUUCUUGUUCGGACAA